GUGUCAGCAGCCGCGGUAAUACAGAGGUGCCAAGCGUUAGGCGGAAUCACUGGGCUUAAAGCGCGUGUAGGUGGAUGGGUAAGUACCUUGUGAAAUCCCACGGCUCAACCGUGGAACUGCUGGGUAUACUGCUUGUCUUGAGGCACUCAGGGGCAGCUGGAACAAAUGGUGGAGCGGUGAAAUGCGUAGAUAUCAUUUGGAACGCCAAAGGCGAAAGCAGGCUGCUGGGAGUGAUCUGACACUGAGACGCGAAAGCCAGGGGAGCAAACGGGAUUAGAAACCCGUGUAGUCC
rnacentral:rRNA from 1 species